rnacentral:misc_RNA from 1 species
GUUCUAUGAUAAUAAAGUGUAACAAAACUCUGCUCCUUUAACACUAUAUACAAAGACAAGCCAGCUCUUGGGCUUCAUCUCAAAAGAAUACCAAAGUUCCUUAAAAGAAGAACGAACGCAUCACACUGAACCUCUGUGUUCUGGCGAUCAACCAUCAGAGCUAUAUUGCAGUUGUCAAGCCCCACAAAAAUCUUGGCAACCUCAAUCACUAUAAUCUUCAGACUCUGAAGAGCCCGACUCUUGAUCCUCAUUGACAUCCCCAUCUCUAUCUGAGUCGUCAUCCAUGUUAACAUAUCUUCCCAGAUUUUGACCAUGGCUUCUGUAUCUAUCAGCGUUGUCGUUGUCAUCAUCAUCUUCAUCGUCAUUGUCGUCUUCAAUUCCAUCACCGGCAGAAACAACCUGAUCCUCAUCUGACAUAUCCAUUAGAUCACUCCUAUUAAAAUCAUAUGUAUUUUCAGGAGCACUAUCAUCAGAUUCAGCAGCUUCCAUACUAAUACUAUUGUCAUUUGUGGCUUCUAUUCCUUCCAUAUUCAUGUCGAACUCUUCUGUCACAUGCUUUCUAGGUGAUACUACAAGACUUAGCCGGCUGCUUCUGUCACCCAAAUAAUCUGGUUGAGCCUCUUCCACAAUUUUCUGUUCUAUUCUCCUCUUCCUGACAGUUCGGCGACCUCGUACAUGUCUCUGCCCAUGCGUUUCUCCCUGCUUAAUAAGAACUUGAGUUAACGUCUCACUAGGCCUUACAACAGUCCUGCCAGACUCUGGUUGUUUGCUAGUAGUUCCUUUUUGCAGCUUUCCACGAGGACGACUGCCUCCCCUCCCACGAACAACUUGCCUACUUCUUGAGCUGCUAGGCAUAUUGUUGAGAUAAUCCCAGUUUUCCUCUCUCAUUAGUCCAUGAUCCAUCACUGUUGCUUCUAUCUUUUGUGGAUCUUUCAAAGAAGCAUACCCCAAAGAUGGCUUUGGAAGGCAAUCUACUUUAUUUUUCAACUCAGCCUCAGUUUUCUGCUGAGGAUCAUAGGAUAUGGAGGAAUCAAGCUCCAAAAGUCUGAGAGCCACUGCAGAGGUGGUCUGAGGUAUCCAUGGGAGCUGUGGCACAGGUUCAGGGUAAGUAGAUUCAAGAGCAGUUUUUCUUGAUAAAGCGCAUAGACCCAUCAAUUCUUGUGCAGUCUCAUAGUCAGCAGACAAGUAAUCACGAUUGAUGACACCCUCUAACUGAGUCAGAAUCUGGAGAAGAUCCUCAGGAGAUGACGAAUUUUGCAGUUUCAGGCCCCAUGUCUUUCUACAGUCUUCUGUCCAAGAUGAUUGAAGUGCCUCAUAUGGCACACAAACCUCAGUGAAACUUAAUACGGCCUUCAUUAAUCUUACUCUUACAGGACAAGCGUUUGAAACCACCAAAUUAUUGUAAUCAAUUUUCAGAUUGUCCAUAGAAUCCAUUGCCUGCUCAAUGAACUUGCCGUUCAUGUCAACUUCGCAAUUCAUCUUGUUGCAAGAAGGGCAAAUACCCUCUUCAGAAAGGUAAGAAUCUAAACAGUGGCCACAAAUGCCCAAAAGUGGCAAGCACCUUUUCUUCCCAUACCGCAUGGCACAUAAAAUUGAUGAGCUGAGACAUUCUUUCCACAUCCAGAUCUGAAAAACUUGGUAUCUCUGUAAGGCAUUCUUUUUCUCUUCCUCGGUCCUUCCGAGCUCAAUCUUAAAAGAAGAAGAUGUUUCCCAGCUAUCAGAACUCACGCCAUAUAUGGCACUGCCAGGACUGUCUGCACUUACACCAGAUGUUGGGUUUGAACUAGCUCCACAAGACAUGUUUUGCCGUGCGCGCCCCUUGAAAGGACCCUCAAUCUUUUGUAACAUAAUAUGCAAAUGUGAUUCCCUAACCCCUCGAGUAUCCAAAGAAGCCAAAAGACAAUCAAAUGCCUCUUCAGUGUCAAUAAGUUUCCAGCAGCCAUGAGGUGAUUCAACAAAUAUCCUGCCAGAACCAGGAUCUUCGCUAGAACCAGAGGCAACAAAUAGCCAGUAACGAUUGCGUCUCCGGUCUUAACCUAAAGGCAAAGACCUG